rnacentral:rRNA from 1 species
CCUACGGGUGGCAGCAGUGAGGGAUAUUGGUCAAUGGGGGAAACCCUGAACCAGCAACGCCGCGUGAGGGAAGACGGUUUUCGGAUUGUAAACCUCUGUCCUCUGUGAAGAUAAUGACGGUAGCAGAGGAGGAAGCUCCGGCUAACUACGUGCCAGCAGCCGCGGUAAUACGUAGGGAGCAAGCGUUGUCCGGAUUUACUGGGUGUAAAGGGUGCGUAGGCGGCCUUGCAAGUCAGAAGUGAAAUGCCCCCGCUCAACGGGGUGAAGUGCCAUUGAUACUGCCUUGCUGGAAUGCGGAUGCCGUGGGAGGAAUGUGUGGUGUAGCGGUGAAAUGCAUAGAUAUCACACAGAACACCGAUUGCGAAGGCAUCUCACGAAUCCGCGAUUGACGCUGAUGCACGAAAGCGUGGGUAUCAAACAGGAUUAGAUACCCGAGUAGUC